rnacentral:rRNA from 1 species
GUAGUGCGUAGGAAGCUGCCCGAUAGAGGGGGAUACCAGUUGGAAACGACUGUUAAUACCGCAUAAUGUCUACGGACCAAAGUGUGGGACCUUCGGGCCACAUGCUAUCGGAUGCGCCUACGUGGGAUUAGCUAGUUGGUGAGGUAAUGGCUCACCAAGGCGACGAUCUCUAGCUGGUUUGAGAGGAUGAUCAGCCACACUGGAACUGAGACACGGUCCAGACUCCUACGGGAGGCAGCAGUGGGGAAUAUUGGACAAUGGGCGCAAGCCUGAUCCAGCCAUGCCGCGUGUGUGAAGAAGGCCUUCGGGUUGUAAAGCACUUUCAGCGAGGAGGAAGGGGUAGUAGUUAAUAGCUGCUACUUUUGACGUUACUCGCAGAAGAAGCACCGGCUAACUCUGUGCCAGCAGCCGCGGUAAUACAGAGGGUGCAAGCGUUAAUCGGAAUUACUGGGCGUAAAGCGCACGUAGGCGGUUAGUUAAGUUGGAUGUGAAAGCCCCGGGCUCAACCUGGGAAUUGCAUUCAAAACUGGCUAACUAGAAUACGGGAGAGGGGGGUAGAAUUCCAAGUGUAGCGGUGAAAUGCGUAGAGAUUUGGAGGAAUACCAGUGGCGAAGGCGGCCCCCUGGCCCGAUAUUGACGCUGAGGUG